rnacentral:lncRNA from 1 species
AGGGCUGGACCUCUGAGAGUCUUAGUGUCCCAUCUGCAAAAUGUGAGAAUCCUAACGAGGUUGAUGCGGGGAUUGAACAGGGGCUUGGGCACAAGGGCCUGACACACGAUAGGUUCCAAAAAAUGCUCAUAGGGAGGAAAAGCAGUCACUCAAUAAAGCUGUUUGUGUUUAUUUUUGAGAUAGGGUCUUGCUCUGUCACCCAGGCUAGAGUGCAGUGGCGCGAUGACAGCUCACUGCAGCCUCGACCUCCUAGGUUCAAGUGAUCCUCCCACUUCAGCCUCUCAAGUAGCUGGGAAUCACAGGCGUGAGCCACCGAGCCUGGCUUAAUUUUUGCAUUUCCUGUAGAGACAGGAAAUGUUGCUAUGUUGUCCAGCGUGGUCUUGAACUCCUGGCCUCAAGCAACCCUCCUAUCAUGGCCUCAGUACUGCUGAUGGAGCUCUUAAACCUCCCCCUUAGGGAUGUAUGAUCCAGGCCUGGCUCAUCAGAACAUCACACAACCCUGGUACAUGACUAGCUCUUAAUUGAAGGUCAUGUAUCCCCCCGGGGGAGUCCAAUCAUAUCCAGAUGCUGAGAGAACUCUGCCUUGACCUGGAUUGGGGUCUGGGGAGUGGUUGAAGCCAUCACACACCUUUCCAUUGGUUGGGGGGUAAGCAGGGCACAUUGACUAGCAACCAUGUAGUACCCUCCCAAAUGGCAAUGUUGUCCUAGCACCUGGACACAGCCAAGCCUGAAGCUGUUCUCUUGGCUUUUUCAUCUUUUUUAUUUUUGAAUUUUUCUUUUUUAUUUGAGAAAAGCUCUCACUCUAUCACCAGGCUGGAGUACAGUGGUGCAAUCUCAACUCGCUGCAACCUCCACAUCCCGGGGCUUUUUCAUCUACAAGAAAGCAGCCACUCACCUUUGCUCAGUGGCUAAGUUUUCCAUCACUUGCAAUGAAGAUGAUCCCCAUUAACACAAAGUGAUUGGCGUGGACUUCGGUUAACGAGUCUCAAAUUUUUAUUUUGAUGGCAAAAAUCACACAGGGAAGAACAAAAAUUAUCCAUGACAAACUAGGAGUGGAAAUGGGCUUUAGGCCAAGGACUUCCUUGCACAAG